rnacentral:lncRNA from 1 species
AAAAAAAAAAAAAAAAAGUUGAGAAGGCUAAAAUUAGCUCUGGAAAAGUAGGUGGUUGGGCUGGCUCAGGAUUAGCCACCACUAAGAGUAGAAAAGCUCACCUUCCCCUACCUAUACUGUAGUAUCCACCCAUGGCUUAUCCUCCACUUGGAAUUAUCUCUGAGUACUGAGUCCAAAGAGAGACAAUGGAAGACUUAAGCAGCCUUCAAAACCCUGAGUUAUACUGACAAAUUUCUCUAGAAAGGGAAUAUCAAAAACUAUGGGGAAUUCAUAAACUGGUAUUAUCAGGUGAAAGGAAAGGGAAAGGAAGGGGAAGGGGGAAAGAAACCAAAGAAACAGGGAGAAAGGGAGGAAGGGAGGGAAGAAGGAAGGGAGGGAGGAAGGAAGGGAGGAGGGAAGGAAGGAAGGAAGGAAGGAAGGAAGGAAAAAACUUCUCUGCUGGCUUCCUAAGCAGUUCAGCUAUGAAGGUAUGUUUUGCAGCAGCAACAGCACACCUGCUCAGACCACUGCAGCAAAGGCUUUCAACAAUUCUUGGGAAACUCGGUGGGGCAAAGGUGCAUGGUAGUUCCGGGACAUCCCACACUAGGAUUUGUCUCAUGGAGGUAACUCAGGGAGGAAGAAAUGAGCAGUUCAUUCUGCAUUAAUAGUUUACAUAUGUGAACUACUAAACUUUUAAAAAAAAAAGUUUAACAGCAGGAGUGGCAGAAACUAGGUUUAUUCUUUUUUUUUUUUUUCCUUUUUUUUUUUUGAGACAGAGUUUCACUCUUGUUGCCCUGGCUGGAGUACAAUGGCGGGAUCUUGGCUCAUUGCAACCUCCACCUCCCAGGUUCAAGUGAUUCUCCUGCCUCAGCCUCCCAGGUAGCUGGGAUUACAGGCAUGCACUACCACACCCGGCUAAUUUUGUAUUUUUAGUAGAGACGGGGUUUCACCAUGUAGGUCAGGCUGGUGUCAAACUCUCGACCUCAGGUGAUCCACCCACCUCGGCCUCCCAAAGUGCUGGGAUUACAGGCUUGAGCCACCUUGCCCGGCCGUUUAUUGUUUUAUCACUUAAUUUGUUUCCUAACAGAGGGAACUGGGCCUCUGCAUCCUCCAAAGAGCAAAAAAAGACAAAAAGACAAAUGCAACACUGCUCCCAGGGGUAACACCUCCAAUGAGUUGGCUUUUUUGGGGCAUGGAGGACGAGAUCUCUUCUGAUGUUUUAAAGAAAACCUUGGGUUUUACAUGGCUAGUACAAAGCUGGAGAAGGGGUACUCGGAGGAGGAAAGACGGGUGGGAGAGAAGAGAGACUGCCCAGAAGCGCCUCUCAUCACAUUCAACCAACAAAACAAGUAUUUUUUAGAAAAGGUUUCAGCAGCAUUGGAAUAACCAUCUGUUAUUUUAAAUUUCAACUGUAUAUGUGAAUG